rnacentral:lncRNA from 1 species
GGGCAGUGGAUGAAGAGGUAUUUCCCCUUCCAGUUAUGGAUCGAAGAGGGGGCACCUUUCAGCAACCCCUUCUUGCCGAACUGAGGGGAGAAAUACCACCAGUCCUUCGUCGAAGGAUGACGCUUGAAGGUAUAGAAAUGCCUAAACAGAGAGAGGGACGGCUGGACCUCGACUACGUGGCAAAGGGAGAGAAACCCUAUCAAA